GCCCAGGGCCCGCCAGCCAAUCAGAGAAGGGCACGGCUGUUGCUAGGCGGGCGGGCAGGCAGGUGUAACCCUGCCGCCUUUGACGCCCUUCACGGUGAGCGGGAAGAGCCGACAAAGCGCGUCCUGAGGUGCGCGAAGCGUGGCACGCUGACUUCGUGGGUCGAGACAGCUCUAAGCUAAUGUCGUAACUCCGUGCGAUGACGCGACCCUCGUCAGGCACCCGGCGGGUGCCCGCAGAGGGCCGGGCCGCGCGGCCCCGGGGGCGUCUCAUGUCAUCGCUUUCCCACGCAAGACGCGUCUCAAAAAUCUCUUACAAUCAAGUUAUUCAACAGGUACUAUGACUCUCUAGUCCCUGCUGUACUGUCCCCGACCUCCCAGGACCCAGGGCUCUGCUCUGAUACAGACCAGCUGCAUAACCUCGGCUCAGACUCUGAGGAAACUGAAGUGGUGAGAAAAAGCUGUGAGAAAGUCUGCAACUUCACCUUUAUUUCCUUGCAGGACUCUGCAGCCUGAGGUAGGAUUGUUGAGAUGGGGAUGGCUCAAGGAUUCAACUUGGAAACAUCAUGGAAAAACAUCAACGUGGAAAGGUUGAUGCCUGAACACAGUUACAAUAAGGAAACAGAACUGUACCUGACUCUAAAUCCUCUGCAUGAUAUAGUGGACUUAACCGGUUCUCAAAGUUGCUUAUUAUUAACUACAGUUUUUAGAAGGUUGUUGAAUAAUUAAUUCAUCCAAGAAUAUCCGGAAGAAUGUAGCAUUCUGAUUUCCAAGUAACUUGUUGGACAUCAGGGGGCACUGUUUCACUACCAGCAAUUUAAACUGAGACAAUGCAGCAUUUGGAUAGUAUAAUACACUGGAUUUCGUGUUGUACUUAAUUCCUAAUCCUUCCUAUAGGUGGACAUUAAAUCAGUGUAGCUACUCUUCAUCUUUAUAUGUUAUCACAGUUUGAACUGAUUUUUAUAUAUAUAUAUAUAAAAAAAAUUAAUUAAGACCUGGGUUUGAAAGACCUGGGAUUCUUAAAAAUCUUAUUUUUGCAAAAAAAAAAAGAUUUCCAUAAAUGCACUGGAACUUAAUUAUGUGAGAGAUAUAGUUACAUAGGUACCCAGUAGCUAGGUCCAAAAAGGCAGGUGCAGAGCAGUUUGCUUCCUUUAAACGAAAACAAACUUAAAAAUUUUAGUGACUGAGUUGUUUACAGAUAGAUUAAGAAGCAUCACUGAAGAAAAACACAGGGCUGGUAUUUUAAUAAAUUAUAUUUAGGAUAUAUGUACUUUUUUUUUAAUCUUUUUAUAUUUGUGAGGUAAGAAAAAAAAUGCCUUUGGCCUCUGAUAUCCUUCCCAGUGAACUUUCCAGUGAAAGAUAAAGUACCAUAGUAAGAACACCUGGUAUUUCUUUUCAAACAAAGUCAUGAAGAAGCAGCAUUGGUUCUUUUAAAUAGAGAUCAUUGUUCAAAAUAAAAUACUUAUUUCUCAAGUAUAGACUUUCCCUACUUACUGCAGAGUGUGAAAUAGAGGAAGAAAAAAGUCUCUCUUCCCUGUAGAGAUGACUCCUGACCUUUUCGGGGGGAACCCAGCCUCUCGAUCAAAUGAAAAGCAUGCAGGCUGAGAGCUCAGUUCAUAAAGACCAUAACAAAACUGAAGAGUUCAUCUAAAAAGCCAACUUUGGACAUGUGGUUAACUCAGAAUAAAGGGUAUAGCAAGUCACACAAGUUUCAGUAAAUUAAAAAGGAACAGAUAAACCACCUGAAGCCACAUCUAUCACCAGAAACCUGUUUUUUACGUGGGAAGAGAAAGUAAGGAUUUAGAUGAGUUGUGUGAAACAAAUCAUUACGGCAUCAUGGUGCCUGGGCUAGGACUAAGCAUAACAGACUGAAUAUGCCUUACCUGUUUGCUACUUGAGGUAGUAAGUAAGGAUACUGGAAGGGUGCCUUACAGCUAAAUCCUUGCUUGUGACAAAUGUUACAGUAUGAUUAGAACUACAAAUGGUCCAGUGCCACUUAAGUGUAUGUCAUUGAUGGAUGGACAGGAAAAUUGUUUUCAGCUUUGUUUACUUCAAAAGAGCUUCUAAGCAUACAGCAGAGUUUUCUAAGUCCAAGAACAGCUGUAGUUAUUCUCAGGUACUGAAAAAUUCAGGACCUAGAAGAAAAAAAUCACUUGGAAAUUAUGUAGUGAACAAGAAGUGUACUGACUAGACUAACACAGCAAAUGGUAGAAGAAUGUCAAGGCUGCCAGCAAACACAGUGCAUGCUUAAACUUGCUGCUUCUGCAUACUUCAAAACAGCCAAGUACUCUGCAGCAGCAAAUCUCCAUAAAGUACUGGGGACAUAAGUUUGAACUUGCUGUUCAUUUCUACUGUAAAUAGACCGAUAUAUCCUGUAUGAACUCAACUAAUUCAAAGCAGAGAGUGGAAGCCUUUAAGAUUUAUUUUUAAGGAUUGGCACUGCUGUGUUGGUUGUAAAUGAAACAAAGUAGUCUUAUCUGAAGAGUUCCAAUUACUUUGUCAAAAUAAAUAGACGAGAUAGACUACAUGAGGUCUUCACCAUCACGUGACGAAAUGGCAAGUGAUGAAUGAUGUAUCUCUCAACAUCAGUAACUCAAAACUCUGAAUGCAUAUUUUAUGCUAAAGGGAAAGGAGAUUAACUGUACAGCACCCCUUUAAGUGUUUUUUUGAAACUUCUGACAUCAUCCACCAUAUUCUAACUUUUUAAAGCCACUGGAGAUUGUAUUUUGCGUUGGCGAGUAUUUAAUAACCAUGGUUAUUUUUUACCCAGUUGUGCCCACGCUGUUUCUUCACGCUGUAUUGUGCAAAGAGCACUAAUAAACAGGACUCCUUUAUACCA